AGGAAGUAAUCAACAAGCCGCUCUUGCGCGUUAUCCGAGAUAAUCGGAUUAAAGCAAUGCUUUCCGUACAGGGCGGAUUACCUGUAGCAGGGGAUUCAAGUACCCCUAGCACAAGUCCUGAGGCGAUGGUUUCACAGCCAGACCCUCGAGGAAAAGAUGUUGUUAAGGGGUCACACCCUGAAUCAACAUGUCAACCCUCCACCUCUGGGGUAAAAGAGGAAGAGAUCAAUCUUAGGCCC
rnacentral:lncRNA from 1 species